UGCGAUCACUAUAGUCUGACCUCCAUCAGGGCAACAAGACAUCAGACAGACACACGCCAGAAAGGCAGCAUGCUGUGGUUCAUUCUAGAGCCUCGCCUGCACACCGGGGACUCUUGUGGUGCAUCCAGUUAUGGACAGUAUACAGACUCUCAGCCCUGGAUUGAACAUUGGGCCUUGACUGCCUUCCCUGGAUAUGUCCACAGCUGCCCUGUACUCUUUGGAGUCAGAAAGUACCACCCAGGGCUACUUUGGAAGGCCUGCCGCAGCCAGUGUGGACUCUUCAGGAGGGAGUAUGUGUUGACAAGGGCCAUCUCUGCUCCCUUGGCUUGAGAGAAGGACUUGAGUUGCAGUUCCGUUCAAUUAUUUAGUACACUGUUCAUCUGAACACAUAAGGAAGGAUUUGCGGUUUGUUGUAUCGCAGAUGCCGACUGUGAAGCGUUCCGAGCCCCUCGAGUCCUUUUUGCA
rnacentral:sRNA from 1 species